rnacentral:lncRNA from 1 species
AGGUCACCUUUUUAAUUUCUCCAUUCAUUUUCAUUUCUCCACAUGACUGCCCAGUCAGAAGCAAGACAGAAACAGGGCGGCCAUGGCACGUUGCUGCAGAUGCCGCUUCACCAACCUGUGACCUGGCUCCCGCUCUACACAGCUUGAGUUCUCCUGAGGUUCACAGUCUAGCUGGGGAGACAGACAUGACACCUCCAUAGGCUGAGUGAGAAGAGCUACUAGUGGCACCUACAAAGUACUGAAGACACACAGAGGUUGAACCUUCCAGCUGUGGGCCAACAACUCCUGAUCAAAAAGGUUGUGCAGUUUCUGGUUUGG